CGUGCCUACAUAGAAGGAUGAAAUUAUCAGCAAUAAUAAACAUUGAUAAUAAAAUUACAGGAAUGGGUAUGAACAAAGGGUUGGUUGGAACCUUUCCUGAUACCUGAUUCUGGGUUAAUUUUAAGUAUAAAUUGGAUUGGUUUUGGUUUUGGAUAGUUAAAUAAUAUAUUGGUAUAAAUAGCCUCCAGCUCCGUUUCGAUAAUAAGUAUCCCAGACCGGCAAUCUCUUGGUCAGUUCCUCCUUUGGGUGGCUGAAUUGGAACAUGGAUGGCUCUUCACUAGGGAAGCCAGGACGCUAAGGAUCCAGAUGUGUUCUUCGCAAUUCAGCUGGGAACUUUAUCUGCCUCUUUGUUGCCCCAUCUGAUGUGAUUGGAUGGAUUAACAAGAGCAUUGGCUUUCCUUGAAAAUAGAAGCAAAUUUUCGCAGACAUCCAUCUUUUCGCUUUGCACUUCAGCUCCAUCAGACAAACACAACUCCUUCCAUCCUCUGUCUCCUCCAUCCGAAACCAUCGCCUUCAUCUUCAUCAUCGCCAUGCAGCAGUAAGCAGCAACAUGGCAAGAAGGAGAGGGAGAAGGCAACAACAACUCAGCAGUGGAGGAUAGGAAAGAAUAGCAACGGCAUCUCAGGAGCUCGGGGGAAGGAGCGGCCAUGCAACAAUAGCUCGGGAGCUCGGAAAGGAGCAGCAAUGACUCAGCGAGGAGCUCAGAGGAGCAGCGCGGCAGCGACAAAGUGUUGAGUUAUGAAACUUGAAGUACUGUGAUUCCAAAUCGAGAGCUCAUGUUUUGUUCUGUUUUUCAAUUCGGCCCAUUGGUGAUGUAAUUAGGGUGAUUCCCUUUAUAAGUAGCAGCUAAUAUCUCUUGUAACUCUAACUCAAAGAAAAAAGUAGUAGAAUACCUGGCUUGGCGGCGCCUCUAGAUGUAGUCAGAAUUUCUUCUCUGACGAACUGGGUAAUUAAUUUCGUGUCUUUUUUGCUUUUCGUUCAGAAUUUCUUCUACUAUCGUCUAUUUUUCCCAACGCAAAGAAGUAGGAGUUGAGAGAAAGAUAGUGGUAAAGGGAUAGAGGCGGCUGAGGAGGUCAUGGAGUGGCUAAAGGACAAGGAAAAGCUGAGGAUGAUGAUUGAAAAUGAAGGAGGCAACAGGAGAUUGGUGAUGAAGACACAGGGCAGAGGAGGAUAAAUGGUUUAAAGGGCGCCCAUGGAAGUGGAAGGGGGAGAUGAGAAGAUGCUGGUGGUUUGUAUCCGUGUAAGGGAAGUUGAAAGAGUGGGGGAGAGAAAA